rnacentral:rRNA from 1 species
AUGGAGUUGAGUAAGACUCAAAACCCGACCACGACAGAAGAUAGUGAGAGAAUGAAAGUCAUUCCCUAUGCCUCAGCCAUAGGUUCUAUAAAGUAUGCCAUGUUUUAUACCAGACCUAUUGUGUACCUUGCCAUGAGUUUGGCAAGGGGGUACAAUAGUGAUCCAGGAGUAGAUCACUGGACAAUGGUUAAAAUUAUCCUUAGGUACCUAAAGAGGACUAAGGAAAUGUUUCUCGGUUAUGGAGGUGACAAAGAGUUCGUCGUAAAGGGUUAUGUCGAUGCAAGCUUGACACUGAUACGGAUGACUCUGAGUCUCAAUCUGCUUACAUAUUGA